rnacentral:rRNA from 1 species
UACGUAGGUGGCAAGCGUUGUCCGGAUUUACUGGGCGUAAAGGGCGUGCAGGCGGUCUGUUAAGUGCAGGGUGAAAGCUCCCGGCUCAACUGGGAGAGGUCCUUGCAUACUGGCGGACUUGAGGGGGGUAGAGGAAAGUGGAAUUCCCGGUGUAGUGGUGAUAUGCGUAGAUAUCGGGAGGAACACCUGUGGCGAAGGCGGCUUUCUGGGCCCUACCUGACGCUGAGACGGCGAAAAGCGUGGGGAGCGAACCGGG